rnacentral:rRNA from 1 species
AGCGAACGCUGGCGGAAUGCUUAACACAUGCAAGUCGUACGGGCAGCUUCGGCUGUCAGUGGCGGACGGGUGAGUAACGCGUAGGAACGUGUCCUGUAGUGGGGGAUAACGCUGGGAAACUGGCGCUAAUACCGCAUAUGGCCUGAGGGUCAAAGCCGCGAGGCGUCAUGGGAGCGGCCUGCGUCCGAUUAGGUAGUUGGUGGGGUAAAGGCCUACCAAGCCUGCGAUCGGUAGCUGGUCUGAGAGGAUGAUCAGCCACACUGGGACUGAGACACGGCCCAGACUCCUACGGGAGGCAGCAGUGGGGAAUAUUGGACAAUGGGCGCAAGCCUGAUCCAGCAAUUCCGCGUGGGUGAAGAAGGUCUUCGGAUUGUAAAGCCCUUUCGGCAGGGACGAUGAUGACGGUACCUGCAGAAGAAGCCCCGGCUAACUUCGUGCCAGCCGCCGCAGUAAUAC